rnacentral:misc_RNA from 1 species
AAGUCGUAACAAGGUUUUCGUAGGUGAACCUGCGGAAGGAUCAUUAGUGAUAUAUUGGAUUCCUCUGAAAAGAGAAGGUCCAUUUCCACUUUAAACACUGUGCACUUGUCUUUACAAUUUUGUAAAACACUUUUGCCAAAAUUAUUAAAGUCCUGAUGUAUCUUUUGAUAAUGAAAUUAAAA